UGGGGAAUAUUGCGCAAUGGGGGAAACCCUGACGCAGCCACGCCGCGUGAGUGAUGAAGGCCUUCGGGUUGUAAAGCUCUGUCGGGAGGGAAGAAGUUCUGACGGUACCUCCCAAGAAAGCACCGGCUAACUCCGUGCCAGCAGCCGCGGUAAUACGGAGGGUGCAAGCGUUGCUCGGAAUCACUGGGCGUAAAGCGGACGCAGGCGGAUCAGUAGGUCAGGCGUGAAAGCCCGGGGCUCAACCCCGGAACUGCGCUUGAAACCGCUGGCCUGGAAUACGGGAGAGGGGAGUGGAAUUCCUGGUGUAGAGGUGAAAUUCGUAGAUAUCAGGAGGAACACCUGUGGCGAAAGCGGCUCCCUGGCCCGAUAUUGACGCUCAUGUCCGAAAGCGUGGGUAGCAAACAGG
rnacentral:rRNA from 1 species